rnacentral:rRNA from 1 species
GGCGUGCCUAAUACAUGCAAGUCGAACGCACUCUCGUUUAGAUUGAAGGAGCUUGCUCCUGAUUGAUAAACAUUUGAGUGAGUGGCGGACGGGUGAGUAACACGUGGGUAACCUGCCCUAAAGUGGGGAUAACAUUUGGAAACAGAUGCUAAUACCGCAUAAAACCUAACACCGCAUGGUGUAGGGUUGAAAGAUGGUUUCGGCUAUCACUUUAGGAUGGACCCGCGGUGCAUUAGUUAGUUGGUGAGGUAAAGGCUCACCAAGACCGUGAUGCAUAGCCGACCUGAGAGGGUAAUCGGCCACACUGGGACUGAGACACGGCCCAGACUCCUACGGGAGGCAGCAGUAGGGAAUCUUCCACAAUGGACGAAAGUCUGAUGGAGCAACGCCGCGUGAGUGAAGAAGGUUUUCGGAUCGUAAAACUCUGUUGUUGGAGAAGAAUGUAUCUGAUAGUAACUGAUCAGGUAGUGACGGUAUCCAACCAGAAAGCCACGGCUAACUACGUG